rnacentral:rRNA from 1 species
CAAUAGCGUAUAUUAAAGUUGUUGCAGUUAAAUAGCUCGUAGUUGGAUUUCGGGGCAGCCUGGCUGGUCCGCCGCAAGGCGAGUACUGGUCAGCCGCCCUUCCUCUCGAAAGCCCCGACUGCUCUUUAUUGCAGUGGUCGGGUAGUUCGGGACGUUUACUUUGAAAAAAUUAGAGUGUUCAAGGCAGGCCUACGCCUGAAUACAUUAGCAUGGAAUAAUGGAAGAGGACCUCGGUCCUAUUUUGUUGGUUUCCAGAACCGAAGUAAUGAUUAAGAGGGACAGUUGGGGGCAUUCGUAUUUAAUUGUCAGAGGUGAAAUUCUCGGAUUUAUGAAAGACGAACAACUGCGAAAGCAUUUGCCAAGGAUGUUUUCAUUAA